rnacentral:rRNA from 1 species
CCAGACUCCUACGGGAGGCAGCAGUGAGGAAUAUUGGUCAAUGGGCUUACGCCUGAACCAGCCAAGUCGCGUGAGGGAAGACUGCCCUAUGGGUUGUAAACCUCUUUUGUCAGGGAGCAACGCCGGCUACGUGUAGCCGGACUGAGAGUACCUGAAGAAAAAGCAUCGGCUAACUCCGUGCCAGCAGCCGCGGUAAUACGUAUGGUGCAAGCGUUAUCCGGAAUGACUGGGUGUAAAGGGAGCGUAGACGGUUGUACAAGUCUGAUGUGAAAGCCCACGGCUCAACUGUGGGAGUGCAUUGGAAACUGUAGAACUAGAGUAUCGGAGAGGCAAGUGGAAUUCCUAGUGUAGCGGUGAAAUGCGUAGAUAUUAGGAGGAACACCAGUGGCGAAGGCGGUCUGCUGGACAGCAACUGACGCUGAGGCGCGAAAGCGUGGGGAGCAAACAGGAUUAGAUACCCCCGUA